rnacentral:rRNA from 1 species
AACCUCCGCAAUGUGAGAAAUCGCGACGGGGGGAUCCCAAGUGCCAUUCUUGACGGGAUGGCUUUUCUUAAGUGUAAAAAGCUUUUGGAAUAAGAGCUGGGCAAGACCGGUGCCAGCCGCCGCGGUAACACCGGCAACUCUAGUGGUAGCUGUUUUUAUUGGGCCUAAAGCGUUCGUAGCCGGUUUGAUAAGUCACUGGUGAAAUCCUGUAGCUUAACUGUGGGAAUUGCUGGUGAUACUGUUGAACUUGAGGUCGGGAGAGGUUAGCGGUACUCCCAGGGUAGAGGUGAAAUUCUGUAAUCCUGGGAGGACCACCUGUGGCGAAGGCGGCUAACUGGAACGAACCUGACGGUGAGGGACGAAAGCCAGGGGCGCGAACCGGAUUAGAUACCCGGGUAGUCCUAACUGUAACGAUGCGGACUUGGUGUUGGGGUGGCUUUGAGCUGCUCCAGUGCCGAAGGGAAGCUGUUAAGUCCGCCGCCUGGGAAGUACGGUCGCAAGACUGAAACUUAAAGGAAGU